AGAGUUUGAUUCUGGCUCAAGAUGAACGCUGGCGGCGUGCUUAACACAUGCAAGUCGAACGAAGCGAUCAGGAGGAAAUUUUCGGAUGGAAUCCGGAUUGACUGAGUGGCGGACGGGUGAGUAACGCGUGGGUAACCUGCCUCAUACAGGGGGAUAACAGUUAGAAAUGACUGCUAAUACCGCAUAAGCGCACGGGGAUGCAUAUUCUUGUGUGAAAAACUCCGGUGGUAUGAGAUGGACCCGCGUCUGAUUAGCUAGUUGGUGAGGUAACGGCUUACCAAGGCGACGAUCAGUAGCCGACCUGAGAGGGUGACCGGCCACAUUGGGACUGAGACACGGCCCAAACUCCUACGGGAGGCAGCAGUGGGGAAUAUUGCACAAUGGGGGAAACCCUGAUGCAGCAACGCCGCGUGAGUGAAGAAGUAUUUCGGUAUGUAAAGCUCUAUCAGCAGGGAAGAAAAUGACGGUACCUGAGUAAGAAGCCCCGGCUAACUACGUGCCAGCAGCCGCGGUAAUACGUAAGGGGCAAGCGUUAUCCGGAUUUACUGGGUGUAAAGGGAGCGUAGACGGCGAUGCAAGUCUGAAGUGAAAGCCCGGGGCUCAACCCCGGGACUGCUUUGGAAACUGUAUGGCUGGAGUGCUGGAGAGGCAAGCGGAAUUCCU
rnacentral:rRNA from 1 species